UAUGUACCUARCGGUCCUCAUCCGCGAGGGUGGGGAAUCAACCGCUAGGAUCGUUUACUUUGAGGAAAUUAGAGUGUUCAAAGCAGGCGUAACUCGCCUCCGAAUACGUUAGCAUGGGAUAAUGGAAUACGACUUCGGUCUUGUUUCGUUGGUUUCGCUUGGCUGAAGUAAUGAUUGAUAGGGACAGUUGGGGGCAUUAGUAUUUAGUUGUCAGAGGUGAAAUUCUAGGAUUUACUAAAGACUGACCAAUGCGAAAGCAUUUGCCAAGGAUGUUUUCAUUAAUCAAGAACGAAAGUAGGGGGAUCGAAGACGAUCAGAUACCGUCGUAGUCUCUACCGUAAACUAUGCCGACCAGGGAUCCGGAGAGUUUGCAUGGAUGACUCCCCGGGCACCUUGUGAGAAAUCAUAAGUGUUUGGGUUUUGGGGGGAGUAUGGUCGCAAGGCUGAAACUAAAGGAAUGACGAAGCCACCACAUUUC
rnacentral:rRNA from 1 species